rnacentral:rRNA from 1 species
AGGAUAAACGCUGGCGGCGUGCCUAACACAUGCAAGUCGAACGCGCUUUCGUCUUCGGAGGAGAGCGAGUGGCGGACGGGUGAGUAACACAUGGGUACCUACCCCACAGUGAGGGAUACCGGCGAGAAAUCGCCGACAAUACCGCAUACGCUUCUCUUUGGAGACGAGGAGAAGCAAAGUUGCGCAAGCGACGCUGAGGGAUGGGCCUGUGGCCGAUUAGCUCGUUGGUGGGGUAACGGCUCACCAAGGCGACGAUCGGUAGGUGGUCUGAGAGGACGAUCACCCAGACUGGGACUGAGACACGGCCCAGACUCCUACGGGAGGCAGCAGUCGGGAAUUUUGCUCAAUGGACGAAAGUCUGAAGCAGCAACGCCGCGUGAGGGAUGAAGGCCUUCGGGUUGUAAACCUCUUUUAUCAGGGACGAUAAUGACGGUACCUGAUGAAUAAGUCACGGCUAACUACGUGCCAGCAGCCGC